GAUGAACGCUGGCGGCGUGCCUAAUACAUGCCAGUCGAGCGAACAGACGAGGAGCUUGCUCCUCUGACGUUAGCGGCGGACGGGUGAGUAACACGUGGAUAACCUACCUAUAAGACUGGGAUAACUUCGGGAAACCGGAGCUAAUACCGGAUAAUAUAUUGAACCGCUUGGUUCAAUAGUGAAAGACGGUUUUGCUGUCACUUAUAGAUGGAUCCGCGCCGGAUUAGCUAGUUGGUAAGGUAACGGCUUACCAAGGCAACGAUGCGUAGCCGACCUGAGAGGGUGAUCGGCCACACUGGAACUGAGACACGGUCCAGACUCCUACGGGAGGCAGCAGUAGGGAAUCUUCCGCAAUGGGCGAAAGCCUGACGGAGCAACGCCGCGUGAGUGAUGAAGGUCUUCGGAUCGUAAAACUCUGUUAUUAGGGAAGAACAAAUGUGUAAGUAACUAUGCACGUCUUGACGGUACCUAAUCAGAAAGCCACGGCUAACUACGUG
rnacentral:rRNA from 1 species